GGCGUGCCUAACACAUGCAAGUCGAGCGGAGAUUGCAGUAAUGUAAUCUUAGCGGCGGACGGGUGAGUAACGCGUGGGCAACCUGCCUCACACUGGGGGAUAACACAGGGAAACUUGUGCUAAUACCGCAUAACAUCAUGAAAGGACAUCCUUUUAUGAUCAAAGGAGCAAUCCGGAUAGAGAUGGGCCCGCGUCCGAUUAGAUAGUUGGUGGGGUAAUGGCCUACCAAGUCGACGAUCGGUAGCCGGACUGAGAGGUUGAUCGGCCACAUUGGGACUGAGAUACGGCCCAGACUCCUACGGGGGGCAGCAGUGGGGAAUAUUGCACAAUGGGGGAAACCCUGAUGCAGCAACGCCGCGUGAAGGAUGAAGGUUUUCGGAUUGUAAACUUCUUUGACCGGGGACGAAACAAAUGACGGUACCCGGAAAACAAGCCACGGCUAACUACGUGCCAGCAGCCGCGGUAAUACGUAGGUGGCGAGCGUUGUCCGGAAUUACUGGGUGUAAAGGGCGUGUAGGCGGGUUUGCAAGUCAGAUGUGAAAUUCCGGAGCUUAACUCCGGCGCUGCAUUUGAAACUGCAAGUCUUGAGUACUGGAGAGGGAAGCGGAAUUCCUAGUGUAGCGGUGAAAUGCGUAGAUAUUAGGAGGAACACCAGUGGCGAAGGCGGCUUUCUGGACAGUAACUGACGCUGAGGCGCGAAAGCGUGGGGAGCAAACAGGAUUAGAUACCCUGGUAGUCCACGCUGUAAACGAUGGAUACUAGGUGUAGGAGGUAUCGACCCCUUCUGUGCCGGAGUUAACACAAUAAGUAUCCCACCUGGGGAGUACGGCCGCAAGGUUGAAACUCAAAGGAAUUGACGGGGGCCCGCACAAGCAGUGGAGUAUGUGGUUUAAUUCGAAGCAACGCGAAGAACCUUACCAGGGCUUGACAUCCCUCGAAUCAUGCGGAACGUAUGAGUCCUUUUAGGACGAGGAGACAGGUGGUGCAUGGUUGUCGUCAGCUCGUGUCGUGAGAUGUUGGGUUAAGUCCCGCAACGAGCGCAACCCUUGUCGUUAGUUGCCAUCAUUAAGUUGGGCACUCUAACGAGACUGCCGGUGAUAAAUCGGAGGAAGGUGGGGACGACGUCAAAUCAUCAUGCCCCUUAUGCUCUGGGCUACACACGUACUACAAUGGCUGUUACAGAGGGAAGCGAAGUCGCAAGGCGGAGCAAAUCCCCAAAAACAGUCUCAGUUCAGAUUGUGGGCUGAAACCCGCCCACAUGAAGUCGGAAUUGCUAGUAAUGGCAGGGCAGCAUACUGCAGUGAAUACGUUCCCGGGCCUUGUACACACCGCCCGUCACACCAUGAGAGUCUGCAACACCCGAAGUCAGUAG
rnacentral:rRNA from 1 species